GACGAACGCUGGCGGCGUGCUUAACACAUGCAAGUCGAACGGAAAGGCCCCAGCUUGCUGGGGUACUCGAGUGGCGAACGGGUGAGUAACACGUGGGUGAUCUGCCCUGCACUCUGGGAUAAGCCUGGGAAACUGGGUCUAAUACCGGAUAGGACCGUGCUCUAGUGUGUGCGGUGGAGAGUUUUUCGGUGCAGGAUGAGCCCGCGGCCUAUCAGCUUGUUGGUGGGGUAAUGGCCUACCAACGCGGCGACGGGUAGCCGGCCUGAGAGGGUGUACGGCCACAUUGGGACUGAGACACGGCCCAGACUCCUACGGGAGGCAGCAGUGGGGAAUAUUGCACAAUGGGCGCAAGCCUGAUGCAGCGACGCCGCGUGGGGGAUGACGGCCUUCGGGUUGUAAACCGCUUUCGGCAGGGACGAAGCGUUUGUGACGGUACCUGGAUAAGAAGCACCGGCUAACUACGUG
rnacentral:rRNA from 1 species